rnacentral:rRNA from 1 species
CCUACGGGAGGCAGCAGUGGGGAAUAUUGCACAAUGGAGGAAACUCUGAUGCAGCGACGCCGCGUGAGUGAAGAAGUAAUUCGUUAUGUAAGGCUCUAUCAGCAGGGAGGAAAGUGACGUUCCCUGCAAAGGAAGCUCCGGCUAAAUACGUGCCAGCGGCCGCGGUAAUCCGUCUGGAGAAGCCGUUAUCAGAAUUUACGGGUUUUAAAGGGAGAGUAGGUGGAAGAGCAAGUCCGAAUGGAACACCAAAAGCUCAACUAUGGGAAGGAUUUAGAAACGUCUGAGGGAGAGGGCAGGAGAGGCAAGGGGAAUUCUUAGGGUAGCGGUGAAAUGCGUAGAUAUUAGGAGGAAAACCAGUGGCGAAGGCGGCUUGCUGGACUGUAACUGACACUGAGGCUCGAAAGCGUGGGGAGCAAACAGGAUUAGAUACCCGAGUAGU